CACGUAGGGGGCGAGCGUUGUCCGGAAUUACUGGGCGUAAAGCGUGCGCAGGCGGUUUCUUAAGUCAGAUGUGAAAGCCCCGGGCUUAACCUGGGAACUGCGUUUGAAACUGGGAGACUUGAGUGUGGCAGAGGGGGGUGGAAUUCCACGUGUAGCAGUGAAAUGCGUAGAUAUGUGGAGGAACACCGAUGGCGAAGGCAGCCCCCUGGGUUAACACUGACGCUCAUGCACGAAAGCGUGGGGAGCAAACAGG
rnacentral:rRNA from 1 species